GGCUCAGGAUGAACGCUAGCUACAGGCUUAACACAUGCAAGUCGAGGGGCAGCAUGGUCUUAGCUUGCUAAGGCCGAUGGCGACCGGCGCACGGGUGAGUAACACGUAUCCAACCUGCCGUCUACUCUUGGACAGCCUUCUGAAAGGAAGAUUAAUACAAGAUGGCAUCAUGAGUCCGCAUGUUCACAUGAUUAAAGGUAUUCCGGUAGACGAUGGGGAUGCGUUCCAUUAGAUAGUAGGCGGGGUAACGGCCCACCUAGUCUUCGAUGGAUAGGGGUUCUGAGAGGAAGGUCCCCCACAUUGGAACUGAGACACGGUCCAAACUCCUACGGGAGGCAGCAGUGAGGAAUAUUGGUCAAUGGGCGAGAGCCUGAACCAGCCAAGUAGCGUGAAGGAUGACUGCCCUAUGGGUUGUAAACUUCUUUUAUAAAGGAAUAAAGUCGGGUAUGGAUACCCGUUUGCAUGUACUUUAUGAAUAAGGAUCGGCUAACUCCGUGCCAGCAGCCGCGGUAAUACGGAGGAUCCGAGCGUUAUCCGGAUUUAUUGGGUUUAAAGGGAGCGUAGAUGGAUGUUUAAGUCAGUUGUGAAAGUUUGCGGCUCAACCGUAAAAUUGCAGUUGAUACUGGAUAUCUUUGAGUGCAGUUGAGGCAGGCGGAAUUCGUGGUGUAGCGGUGAAAUGCUUAGAUAUCACGAAGAACUCCGAUUGCGAAGGCAGCCUGCUAAGCUGCAACUGACAUUGAGGCUCGAAAGUGUGGGUAUCAAACAGGAUUAGAUACCCUGGUAGUCCACACGGUAAACGAUGAAUACUCGCUGUUUGCGAUAUACAGCAAGCGGCCAAGCGAAAGCGUUAAGUAUUCCACCUGGGGAGUACGCCGGCAACGGUGAAACUCAAAGGAAUUGACGGGGGCCCGCACAAGCGGAGGAACAUGUGGUUUAAUUCGAUGAUACGCGAGGAACCUUACCCGGGCUUAAAUUGCAGAUGAAUUACGGUGAAAGCCGUAAGCCGCAAGGCAUCUGUGAAGGUGCUGCAUGGUUGUCGUCAGCUCGUGCCGUGAGGUGUCGGCUUAAGUGCCAUAACGAGCGCAACCCUUGUUGUCAGUUACUAACAGGUUCCGCUGAGGACUCUGACAAGACUGCCAUCGUAAGAUGUGAGGAAGGUGGGGAUGACGUCAAAUCAGCACGGCCCUUACGUCCGGGGCUACACACGUGUUACAAUGGGGGGUACAGAGGGCCGCUACCACGCGAGUGGAUGCCAAUCCCCAAAACCUCUCUCAGUUCGGACUGGAGUCUGCAACCCGACUCCACGAAGCUGGAUUCGCUAGUAAUCGCGCAUCAGCCACGGCGCGGUGAAUACGUUCCCGGGCCUUGUACACACCGCCCGUCAAGCCAUGGGAGCCGGGGGUACCUGAAGUGCGUAACCGCGAGGAGCGCCCUAGGGUAAAACUGG
rnacentral:rRNA from 1 species